AGAUUGCUUUACCCUGAGGUAAACGUCAUAAAAUGGGUCCAGUGCAAGACGUGCAGGGGCUGGCUGCAUCAGGAUUGUGCUGGGAUUGAAAUGGAGCCGUUUGACUGCGGGUGCGAGGACUCCAUUGAGCAUCCUCGGUAUAACAUAAUUUAUCAAGGAAACAUAGUAUCAGUCAAAAAUACGAGGCUCAAAGGAUGAAAAAAUGAGGGCUUGCUCUUUUCUUAUUUCUCUGCAGGAUCAAGGAUGCUGUUGACAGUUGAGGAAUUCAUGCUGUCUUUUCUAAGACACAGAUCAAGGUUGCUUUUGAAUGCACUAUCAGUUGUUAAAGCCACCGUUUCUUUUUCAGAUGAUUACAUUUUUGUCUCUUGCUCUUUGGUUUCAGACAUUACAUGAUGAUCUACUGUCUGGAAAGAUCCGCUCCAACAGAAUGUUCCUUUGGAGGAAUCCCGCCACCUCACUCCGACUAAAGCAGCAUCUUAAGAUAAGGACACUAAGUUGGAGUGAGCAGCGCGUAAGUAAAAAUGCCAUCCAUCAUGAGUAUUUUUACUCUCAGGGGUGUUACAUUUGAAAGGUGUUUACUUUCUGUGUUUUUCUUCAAUAGAUGUUCGAGCUCCUGCGGUUCAUUGAGGUGGCAACAAACAUUUCUAAAAAAAUAAAGAGAGGCGAGAUUCAUCUGCUUGAUUUCGUUUUUGACGUCAUGCUCCCAGAGGUGAGUAGAUCAAACUAUAUAGCUUGCUUUGAAAAAUGAUGAUAUUGUUAAGAGGUUGUUCUUAUUCAUUUGGAAAGCUCAAGAACAACAAUUAACCCAUACUGCAUA